GGGGGGGGGGGGGGGGGGGCAAGUGGUGGUGGUAUGUGGGGACCUGUCAGAAAGCAGAAAAUAUAUACACAGACACACACAUGUGUGUGUGUGAGAGAGCAGAAACUGAAGGGCCACUCGUGGGGUCUCUUCUUUCUUGUAAGGAAUGAGUACAGUGCAGUUUAGCUGUCUUCAAACAAAUUGGUUAAUUUUUGGGGGAAGUUCCAGGACUUCAAAUCCUGCAGUGAAUCCACACCACUCAUGGCAUGGCGUGCAGUGUGGAUUCAACCUGGAUCUGCGCUCCCGGGAGUCUCUAAGAAUGAGCUCAAACAGUUUUGCUCUCACAGCCACACACGUUGCUCUUUGUUUUCUGGGAAAAUAAUUCCCACUUUCAUAUAUCCUCUUGAUUUGAUAUUUGACAUCUUUGUUUGUCUUUUUAAAAUAUCAAUGGCAGAAGAAGAAAAUUGCUCCAAACGACGAUUGAUUACAUGGACCAAAUGAAAGCCAGAAAAAUCAACAAAAGCAGUAGAUGAUUUUGAAAGGGCCCAUCGCUGGUUCGUUUCAGAUUCAAGAAAUGUUGGAUACAGAAAGGAAUUUCCCAUUGACUCCAUAUUUGUGGAUAAACUGCCGAGUCCGAAUUAGCAUCAAAGCAUUCAUUUUGAAGCAUUUCUCUCUGAAAAUGGAAAACCAAACAAUAAUAAUAAUGAUAAUUACUAAAAUAUCAAACCACUGAAAAAAAAAAAUGGAAGAACAGAGUUAUUCUUCUAUUAUUACAUUACAUAUUAAUGAUCUUUUUGAUUAAGAAUGUAAUAACAGAUUAAGAGGGGCGUGAAAGCAGCAGCACAGAGGUACAACUGAAGAACACAUGUGAAGGCUGAAAGAGGACAAAUGAUAAAAACAAGUACUGUUCAGCAAAUGAGUCCAUAUUUUUGGACAGCUCUACUCAGCUCAGAAGAAGCGCGCAGAAGAUUCAUAGUAAACACUAAUUUACACAAAACCGGAGCUCACUCAUCAAAACAUCUCCGAAAACAACAGAAAUCA